rnacentral:rRNA from 1 species
UACGAAGGGGGCUAGCGUUGCUCGGAAUUACUGGGCGUAAAGCGCGUGUAGGCGGCCCUGCAAGUCGGGUGUGAAAUCCCACGGCUCAACCGUGGAAGUGCACUCGAAACUGCAGGGCUAGAGUCCUGGAGAGGAAGGUGGAAUGCUUGGUGUAGAGGUGAAAUUCGUAGAUAUCGAGAGGAACACCGGUGGCGAAGGCGGCCUUCUGGACAGUGACGUGACGCUGAGACGGCGAAAAGCGUGGGGAGCAAACAGGG